rnacentral:ncRNA from 1 species
UUAAAAGCGAUGACGGAGAGAAAGAUGUCAAAGUUUGUUUCAAAGAGAGCCAGAAUAGGUGAGAGCUGGCAAGCAGAUGGGCAUGUAAUAUUCACUCCUAAGCUGGAUAGUAGAAGUGUAGUAAGCUGUCCCGGAUUCCCCCGUUAGUAGAGGAUAGGAGUUGUUAGACUCUGAUAAGUGGUGAAAUUUUUUCACAACUAGGGUGGUACCGCGGAUAUGUCUUUCGUCCCUUUG